UCUACUGAAUUUCUUCAUUUCCACUGCCUGAUCCCAUUCCAGGCCAUCAUCAUCUUUUCCAGACCAGGACAAGAGCCUCCUAACUGGACUUUCCUUGCAUCUGCCUGCAUUCAGUUCCCCAGACCAGCGGCUUGUGGUCCUUUAAUCUCAUCGCAUCACGGGAGUGGUUACAUUCUGCGGUGGCUGCAAAAACUACCCACUAGUUUGAUUUUAUGGUAUUGGUGGUGUGGUUGUGCUUGUACUCUACUUCCACGCAAAGGAACAAUUUCUCUUGAGGGUCAUGAGGUGAUUGUGGGAGAGAUUAAACUAAUGUACGGAUCACCGAAACCUUCUUCCUCCUGGGCACACACCUAGAGGUAAGCUGUGCUUCAAGAGGCAACACCACAUGACUUGAGGGCUGGAUGGUGGGCUGUGGGAAGGAGUGGGCUCCGCCCCUUCAAGCCAGGUUCUUAAACAUUGCCCUCACAUCUUCCUUGGACCCUAUUCUCUCCCUUCCUUGAUCUGGACUAGAGAAGACCCACCAGAGGACUGGGGGGACUGCAGUCACAGAUGGAAGGUGCCUGGGUGUUGAAUUACCAUGAGGAAGAAACCCAUGCCACUGAGUAGAACAACCAGUUGAACUUUGUGAGGGCAAGAAGUUAACAAAAUUGUUGUUAAGUGGUUUAACAAGAAUUUAACCACUGAGAUGUCAGUGUUUGCCUGUUACAGCUGUUGGUAUAGUCUAACUCAGUGUUGGUAAUCACGGAAACAAUCAACCUAUACAUAUACUGCUUCUCUGGCCAAAUACAUUUGCGUUAUGUUAACUCGCUUAACACACAAAACAACAUAUGAGGUAGGUGUUCUUAUUAUCCUUAUUUAAAGAUGAGGCACAGUGAAUUAACUGGCUCAGGAUCACAUACCUUGUGUGUAAAUGUAAUUUACACAACAUUUGAACCUAGGCAGUAUAGAUUCAGAGACUAGAGUCCACUACCUUAGCAUCUUUAAAGGGUGCCUUCUGAUGGAAGAUUCAUUUAAAAGACAAAGUAUGUUCCAUUUAAUCAAGAAAACAUGAUAAGGUUUUUGGUACAUGCAUGAGUUUCCUGAUUGCCAUGGGUCUUUAAGCCCUGAGCACAUAUAAGUGAAAGGAGGAACUGGCCCAGGGAAGGGAAGGAGGGUCACUGGAUGGUUAAGAAACAACAGGAAUUAUAGUCUGAGCUUCUGGAGCUCAGAGCUGGGGGUGUGGGACAGAGUGAGGGGUGCCCAGGGACC
rnacentral:lncRNA from 1 species